GUUCAGAUAAGAAAUUAUUGCAUCUUAACAUGUAUUUACCAGACACUUUAUACGUUAUACAAUUAGAUCAGUUUGUUCGUUAUCCACCACAAGCAAAGUCAUCAUGCUAUGGUUGUAGUCACUGUAAUGGGAAAUGUCAGCAUAUCAGUUAUGUCUGGUUCUCAUUUCGAGCUGCUCAUCUCAAUCUCAUUGCUGUACAUUACACUCAGUAAUAAAGAUAUAAAGAGCCAAGCAGUGGGCUGAAUCAAACGAAAACACUCUCCUCGCAACUCUACUGCUAUAGCCGCUAUAAAUCCUUCAUCUUGUUUUCUUCUCCUGAAGAUGUCAGUGAUUAAUGUCGAACGGCUUGUUUUUACCAUGACCUGCAUUUAACCCAGACGAUGAAUUAUGGAACAUAGUUAUUGCAUUGAUUGAUUUAGUAGUUUUAAGCUGCAAAAUUCUGAGCAUAAUGAUUAUCGCUGUUUGUAGCACAUCAUUGAAUGUUUUACAACCACUGUCCAAUUGGUACAUGCUUUUGAAGGAAGUGAAACAAUGAGUCUGUGCUUCGACGAGUGCUUUCAACCAGAGGAUCAAGCUCCUCAUGUAAAUGGUUGCCAGGUUAUUGUUGCCCUUAGAUAUGGAGGCAGGGUGGGAGGGAGAGAGUGAGUCUGAAAGAAGUAUAGAAAACUCGGCUGUCAAUCAAGCGCUACACCUCCUUUAGUGCGUCAUGCUGUUAGAUGGCCGACUAUUUGAUGUGCAUUUUAACGCUUGUGCAUUUGCAUGACAGACCCGUGACUUGCAAAUAAGCCUGGAUCUCUCUUGCUGCUUUCAAACAGGUGGCUCGCUUCUGCGCACGGAAGCAGAGGAACCUUGCAACAAGGUCAGCAAAAACCCAGAUGUAACCCUCCUAGAUCAGGACCCUGGUUCACCAUCUGAGCUUUGGCUGAGACGUGCUGUCAGUGUUUGCUACGAGCCAGUGUCUACAGGUCUUCCAUCUGUGGGAGUGCUUACCCUACAGAGUCCUGCUUUACUCUGUACAGAGAGCUCUUUGCCGGGACCGUCAGCUUUUGAGGAGCCCACGCAAAACAACAGACAAAAGAAUGUAGCUGGGUUAGGCCGGACAGCAAGCAAUGACAUCUUCCUCUCAGAGUCGGAGGCUAUUACGAACACCUUAAAUGUAAACGAGGAAACGUGCAGGAGUCUAAAUAUAGUAGAGACUGGAUGUGCAGGAACUGAGCUAGAAAACAGCAGAGGACAAACAGAGAGUUCUGGGAAGUGCCACAAAUCAGAAAAUAGCAGCAGGACAGAGGCCUUAAAACUUCUGAACCAAGGGCAGCCUUCCAAGUCAGCGGACGUCUGGGAUAUUCAAGGAUUCAAUUCAUCAGGGGAGACCCAAGUAGAGGAUACUGGGAGUUGUCAAGAGGGAAGAGAGGAUUCAGAUUGCACUGGGUGGAGUCAAGAGGAAUCUGAGAGCAGUGGACAGAGUCAAGCAAGGACAGGGAACAGUGAGACUCAAGAGGAACCCAAAACAAGUGACUCAGAAACAUCAAAGAAUCCGAGUGUCCAAGGUGAAGAUCUAACUGACAUUCCAGGGGAUCCCUCUACUGUAUGUCAGUUCACACACUCACAGAGUGAGCAGACUUCACUAAAGGGAGCUCAUAGUUUUGUGACCGAGUCGGUCACUCGUUUUAUCUUCCCUCACACACGUUCUCGGCCCCCGCUCAUCCCCACCAUGCCCACCCUUCCUGAGGAAGAGGAAGAUUCCCCAGAGGAGCUCAACAGUACAUCCAGCUCGCCCUGCACAGUGAGUCAAACUAUCUAUCACAUCAGGCUACAUUCACGCUGUCAGUCCAAAUCUGAAUAUUUAUGUAUCCAUUUCAAACUUUCCUUCUCCGUGUUCUGCGUUGGUUUCUUUGGCAAUGGCGUUGCAUUGUUAUGCCUAUUCUAGAAAUGGAUUUGUAAAAGUUGCAUUUCAUCUUUGUUGUUGUUUUUUUUUUUACUAAAUGUCUGAUAUGCAAAAAAAAAAAAAAAUGAUUUGGACCAAAAAUUGGGAUUUGGCCUGCAUGAAAAUGCAUUUUCACUUUCUGACAGUAGGUGGCACUUACGAAAAAGCAGAAAUGCAGAGGUACACAAGGGAAGCAUGUGCUACUUUCUGACUUCUGCAUGGCAAGUUAAAAAAGGGAGCAAAAGAUUAUUUACAUGGUUUCAAAGAGCUGUUCAAAUUUUUGGUCUAACAGUCCCACCAUGGAUUGAUGUAUAGCUGACCCAAUCUGGCUAAUCAAACACAGAUUGAGUCAAUUUAAUUUUGUGACUUGCAGUGCAAAAAUUACUCUCUUCACCUUCAAACACGUGCCCUAACCACAUUACAUCUGACACAUGAUUCUUUUAAAGAUGUUCAUCUGAGGAGGAAGAAAAUGCAUAUAAUCUUUUCCCGAAAGACAACAUUCCACUCUCUAUCAAGAUUCAGAUAUUAUCAGUACCCUAAUGCCACAGAAUGGAUAUUUGAAAUCCUACUAGUUUAAUGUCACGUUACACAGUUAGGGCCCCAAUGCCAAAGUUCUUUUUUUAUUUUAUUUUUUUUAUUCUUUGCUUAAGGGUAGAAGAGCAAAAAGAAGUUUGAAAUACAUGAGCAGUGUAUAUACACUGUGUAUAUCUGCUGGGAGCAGAAUUUAGAUGAAUAUGUACAUACAUUUGUUCUGCACACUUUUCUCUCGAUAACAAAAUGAACACACAACAAAAUGCGAAAACAGUAGUUAAGAAAGCAUUUGAUCAGUGGAUAUGUUUGCAGCAGCUCUGCAAUUCAGUCAAGUCACGUCACAUUUAUUUAUAUUGCACUUUAUACAAUAGAUUACUUUAAAGUAUGCAGCUUUAAAGUAUUAUUAAACAGUAUUACACUAUUCAACAUGGAAAAAACAAUGCCAGGGUCGUUUUCAGUUUACUUACAAUUGAUACUAUAAAGCAGAUCUGCAUUUUGUGUGUAAAGAAGGCGGAGCCCAGGAGCACACCUAUCUGUUAUGUAAUUGCCAUGGACCAAUGGUAGUUUGAAGGUGUUCACCAGCUGGAGCUAAUUUUUUUUUUCCAGAAAGUUCGUUUUGGCGAGUUGUUUUGAACUCCCAAAAUGAACUUCGUUUUGGCAUGAUUUAGUUUGAAAUGACAUCACACCAGUUUGUUCUUCGAUUUCGCUUGAAGUAUAUUAGGCGCUUUACGAAUGUCUCUCUAUCAUGGCCUAUGAGUGAGAAGAGCUAUUGCUUCACUUACGACAAGCUUCAGGAUUUACUGUUCUGUUUUCCUUUUGGAGAUCACAGAUCAUUUCAACAUCAAAGCCUGUCAGGGGUUGUUGUUUCAUUAUAGCCAUUAUGUUAUUCUUGAGUGAGUACAAUCCACUCAUGCUGUGACUCAUAAAAGGUUGGCAUUCAGAUAAGACCACUCUUUAAAAUCAUAUUACACUUCAGUAAUCUAAUCCCAGAAUAAAAGCCAAACAAAUAAAGCUUCCA
ensembl:lncRNA